rnacentral:misc_RNA from 1 species
CUAAGGAGCACUUCUACACACUGCGUCACACAGGUGAUUGUGGGUGUGUCAGAGACCGUUUCGGACCCGAACGUGGUCCGGCGGACGCUCAUGGGUGGAACACUGACAUGUGCCGAGCCUGGCUCGGAUGUAGUCGACACACUGUUGGGUCCUGAAAGAACAGACGUUCUUUCCAGGCAAGAUAACGACGAGACUCAAUCCGCGAGUCAUACCGCCGGGAAUUUUCUCGGUCUGGUGCCGCAGUAGUGAGUGGGUCUUGUGUGUUGUUUGAGAACUGCACAGUGGACGCGAGCAUCUUUGUUAGUAAGUGUGUAAGAGCGUAC